AAUAGGUUCAGUUUCUAUGUUCUUAGAGAUAGAACCUUAAAGACCCUAAAAACUCUAAAAAUUAAAAAAGAAAAAAGAAGAGAAAAGAAAAUAAACUUGAAGCUUUAAAUAAACAACAAAAACCCUAAAAACAAACAAACAAACAAACAAUAAAAAAAACAUAAUUUUUUUUGAAAAAAUAAAACUAAAAGAACCUAAAACCCUAAACAAACAAACAAACAAACAAACUUGUUUUCAGAAUGGAAUACAUUUUAUAAAUAAUCUAAAAGCAAUAGGUUCAGUUUCUAUGUUCUUAGAGACAGAACCUUAAAGACCCUAAAAACUCUAAAAAAUAAAAAAUAAAAAAGAAGAGAAAAGAAAAUAAACUUGAAGCUUUAAAUAAACAAUAAAAACCCUAAAACAAACAAACAAACAAACAAAAAAAAACAUAAAAUUUUUGAAAAAAUAAAACUAAAAGAACCUAAAACCCUAAAGAAAAACAAACAAACAAAAAAAAUCAACAAAAAAAUUCUAGAUCUCUACAAAGACCC
rnacentral:lncRNA from 1 species